GCUUGCUUAGUUCAGAUGGUAGAACGGCGGACUGUUAAUCCGUAUGUCACUGGUUCGAGCCCAGUAGCGAGCGCCA
rnacentral:tRNA from 1 species